AAUAAAUAUUUACAAGUUACGGCACUAAUUUAUGUGGAAUUGUUUUAAAGAGCUUAGAAAGUAAAAUAAUUUGCGUACAUGAGGGCUCAGCCUGUUGAACUUCUUCAUCGGCGCUGUGAGCGGGCAUUGUAGUGGUAUUCGCGGGCCGAGGAGAGCCUGUGAAAAGAGUGUAACGUAGCACAGAUUUUAGCGUGACACACAUAAAACUGGUAUUAGGCGUCACAUUAAAUAAUUACAAUUACAAUCACUCAGGGUGUUUUCUCACUAUUAAUUGGUGUCUUCACGUAUUCUGUCUCCGUACCAGUCAUAAAAAAGGUGUAAACACACGAAAAGAGAACGCUACGUGUCACUCACUAAAUAUAUGGAUGUCCCAACUAUCCUAAACCAAGAUUUUAAAAAUCUUAAUGCGAUGUACCUAGAACAGGUUAACAUCGUGGUGCCCGUGAUGACCUAGCGCGUAACCGUAUUCUUGUCAUUUACGGUUAUUUGGCCCACUGAAAAUAAGAGUAAUUUUGUAAUAAUAAAGCUAUAGUAAAUAAACUUACUUUUUGAUUCUUAAUUUUAAAAGCGACUUUGAACUAGGGUGUCGUAGAUUAUAUAUAUUUCUAAAAGCCC
rnacentral:lncRNA from 1 species